CAGACAUACACUGUUUUCUAACCGUCUGUUCUCCAAUGCUCUUCUUAUUCUCGACACUGGUUCCGUUGUAAAGCCAAACUGGGACAAGGACAGAAGACUUGGAGCCUACAGUUUUAUUUGCGGUCCAGGUGCUGCUCUGGACACAAUGUGGAAGAGAAAGGC